rnacentral:rRNA from 1 species
GACGAACGCUGGCGGCGUGCUUAACACAUGCAAGUCGAGCGGUAAGGCCCUUUCGGGGGUACACGAGCGGCGAACGGGUGAGUAACACGUGGGUGACCUGCCCUCAGCUCUGGGAUAAGCCUGGGAAACCGGGUCUAAUACUGGAUAUGACUCCAUGACGCAUGUUGUGGGGUGGAAAGCCUUGUGCGGCUGAGGAUGGGCCCGNGGCCUAUCAGCUUGUUGGUGGGGUGANGGCCUACCAAGGCGACGACGGGUAGCCGGCCUGAGAGGGCGACCGGCCACACUGGGACUGAGACAC